UGAGUCUGCGAUUUCCGAAUGGGGAAACCCAACUGCAUAAGCAGUUACUGUUAACUGAAUACAUAGGUUAACAGAGCAAACCGGGGGAACUGAAACAUCUAAGUUAGCCCCGUAACCGACGCUUCAUCGAGCGUGAAAUCGAGUAGGGCGGGACACGUGAUAUCCUGUCUGAAUAUGGGGGGACCAUCCUCCAAGGCUAAAUACUCCUGACUGACCGAUAGUGAACCAGUACCGUGAGGGAAAGGCGAAAAGAACCCCUGUGAGGGGAGUGAAAUAGAACCUGAAACCGUGUACGUACAAGCAGUAGGAGCACCUUCGUGGUGUGACUGCGUACCUUUUGUAUAAUGGGUCAGCGACUUAUAUUCAGUGGCAAGGUUAACCGUAUAGGGGAGCCGUAGCGAAAGCGAGUCUUAACUGGGCGCUCAGUCUCUGGAUAUAGACCCGAAACCGGGUGAUCUAGCCAUGGGCAGGUUGAAGGUUGAGUAACAUCAACUGGAGGACCGAACCGACUAAUGUUGAAAAAUUAGCGGAUGACUUGUGGCUAGGGGUGAAAGGCCAAUCAAACUCGGAGAUAGCUGGUUCUCCCCGAAAGCUAUUUAGGUAGCGCCUCGGACGAAUA
rnacentral:rRNA from 1 species